UACGGAGGGAGCUAGCGUUGUUCGGAAUUACUGGGCGUAAAGCGCACGUAGGCGGCUUUGUAAGUUAGAGGUGAAAGCCUGGGGCUCAACCCCAGAAACUUGCCUUUAAGAUACUGCAUCGCUUGAAUCCAGGAGAGGUGAGUGGAAUUCCGAGUGUAGAGGUGAAAUUCGUAGAUAUUCGGAAGAACACCAGUGGCGAAGGCGGCUCACUGGACUGGUAUUGACGCUGAGGUGCGAAAGCGUGGGGAGCAAACAGG
rnacentral:rRNA from 1 species